rnacentral:lncRNA from 1 species
AAUAUAUUUCAGGUUCUUUGGAGCUAUGAGAAAAAACCCUUCUGGGCCUCUCCAUGCAAGCUUGUGAUCAUGGAGGUAAAGUCCAAAGAGGAAGAGGGGUGAAGGAGGACCCAAAGACCAUCGGGAAGACCCAAAGUGGGAACUGUGGGAUUGCUCCACACAGUUCCUAUACUUGAGGUUUGCAAGGGAUGGGAAGAGAGACAGCCCAGCAGAUGCUGAGUCCUCAGGAGGAGAGACCAAUGACUAAUAAAUCAGGUGGUUCUUCCUUCAAUAUAUAUCACAUACUGGGAUCAAUAAGAAGCAGAAGAAAAAAGUUCUUUUGUUUACAUGAGGGUUCCACAGGGCAGCCGCUCAGCUCUCCAAUGCACUGAACAACAUCAAUCCAAAGGCUGAUUUCUGCAGCCCAACCUCCAAUAUAUUUAAAACGAACCAUGAAAGAAUCAGAGAUUAAUUCACAGCAUAGCCAACAAUUCCAUUACAACAGAGAAACCUCAACCAGCAACUGAAGUUAUUAUUUUGCCAAAGGAACAGCCAACUGCUAGUCACAUAAAAUUAGCACAUCACCUAGAGAAAACUGUUUCAGAAAGCAGUAUGUUUCAACCUCUGGUUCAUGGCUCAUAGUAAGUUCUUUAGUUGCUAUGUUUUUCUCUGCCUACUUCUAUCUCUCAUGAAUCUACCGCACAAAUCUGAAACGUAGAAGCACCCAACAUAGGGAAGCAGAUGUAAUUAAACUUCCAAACUGGUCACAUUUUCAGUUGGUUGCAGCAAGUGGAGAUGCCAACGCCAGACAAAAUGGUCUUGGAAGAAAGGUCAAGCGCCUCCUCACUUAAAAAGGGAAAGAAAUAGCCCAAAGAGAAUUUGAAGACAGAAAGAGACUGAAGCAGAAGAUGUAAAUCAAGCCAACUGGAUUUCCAGACAGGACACACUCAGUGGAGACAGACUCACCACUGAAUAUUUAGUACUGCAAUCACUCAUACCACUCCUGUGGUAUUUCCUGACAGGGACUAUCCGAGAUGGGAACCCUCUGUGGGAAGAUCGAGCAAGGAGGGAUUUGGAUUUUAAUGGGGCUGGGGGUCUGCACAUCUGCCACAGCAUCAGCUGAUACACGGGUGUAGCGUGUGCCACGGUGCCAGCUGAUGCUGCUGAAGGCAGAGGCCAAGCACAGUGACAAGAUGUGUCCUCUGUAGGGACAUCCUUCUUUAAUUACUGUGCUUGCAGCCUCCUGCUCCUUUCCCACCUUUCUUUCCCCCCUGGAACACAAAUGAGGAGGGGAGGCGAAUAGCAACUGGCUGUCAGCUGACUCUGGAGGGAAAUUAGAUGGAAAGAGGAAGAGGAAGGAAAAUCCCCUCUGAGAUGGUACCUUUUGACACCCUCUCUGAUCAGUGCUUCCUGCUUCCCCCUAUGAAAUCCUCUGGCAGCCUUGCUGCUGUGGAUGGGCAAAUAGUCCAGCAACAGCAGCCUGAAGUCAGGAGAUGAAGGAAAAGACUCCCACUAGCUGCAGAAGACACAGAUGUUGUGAGAGGACAUGGUUUUGGGCAGGGAGCUGCUACGAAACGUGCUGGAGGUAACUGAGGACAGAUCAUCCUUUCCUCUCCCCAGGUAUCUCUCAGACUGACCCAAAGUUUGCUGGUUGAGAAGAUAUGCAAAGCAGAAUGUGUGCAAUUUAUUGUGUCCAGCAAUAAACAAAAUAUUAAGUGCA